rnacentral:rRNA from 1 species
GACGAGCCUCACAAACGUUAUUCGGAAUUACUGGGCUUAAAGGGUGCGUAGGCGGUGCGGAAAGUUGGGUGUGAAAUCCCUCGGCUCAACCGAGGAACUGCGCUCAAAAACUGCCGUACUCGAGGAAGAUAGAGGUGAGCGGAACUUACGGUGGAGCGGUGAAAUGCGUUGAUAUCGUAAGGAACACCCGUGGCGAAAAGCGGCUCACUGGGUCCUAUCUGACGCUGAUGCACGAAAAGCGUGGGGGGAGCAAA